rnacentral:rRNA from 1 species
AGAGAGAGACAUGCGCGCAUAUCAAUAAGCGGAGGAAAAGAAACUAACAAGGAUUCCCUUAGUAACGGCGAGUGAAGCGGGAAGAGCUCAAAUUUGAAAUCUUCAGGGUUUUACCUUGACGAAUUGUAGUUUAAAGAAGUGUUUUCUGCUGAAGUUUUGGUAAAAGUUCUUUGGAAUAGGACAUCAUAGAGGGUGAGAAUCCCGUAUUUGACCAUUAUUUUCAGCUUUGUGAUACACUUUCAAAGAGUCGGAUUGUUUGGGAAUGCAGUCCAAAAUGGGUGGUAAAUUUCAUCUAAAGCUAAAUAUUGGCGAGAGACCGAUAGCGAACAAGUACCGUGAGGGAAAGAUGAAAAGAACUUUGAAAAGAGAGUUAAACAGUACGUGAAAUUGUCAAGAGGGAAGCGUUUGACACCAGUGUUGUUUUCUCGAAAAUCAAUUAAAAAUGGCUCGAUUUUGUAUUGCUUGAGACCUUAAAAGCUCACUGUACAUUUUUCGUGUCUUUUUUAAUGCACUUUUCGUUUAACAAGUCAACAUCAGUUUCUUUUGUUGUAAAAGGGUCAUUGGAAGGUGGCUUUCUUUUCGGAGAAAGUGUUUAUAGCCUUUGGCCUCUGCAAUCGGAGAGACUGAGGUCUGCAGCGUAGACUCUUCGGGGUUAGAUACAUUUGUGCUAAGUUAUAGCUUUUUAUAGACAACUUGUUGACUAUGAUUAGUCUUGUAGCUUACUCGCUUAUGCUAUUUUACCUACGCUUAGGAUGUUGAAGAUGUAGCACAUCAU